CAGAGUUGCAAGACUCCCUAAACCAUUGUGAACCUACCUUCUACCGUUGCUUCGGCGGGCGGGCCCAGCGCCCCCCCGGCCCCCCGCGGGCGCCCGCCGGAGGAUACCCAAACUCUUUGACAUUAGUGGCCUCUCUGAGUAUUCUUUACUGAAUAAGUCA
rnacentral:misc_RNA from 1 species